rnacentral:sRNA from 1 species
UAAGAGAGUUUCAUUGCCGAGACUAGAGC